rnacentral:rRNA from 1 species
CAGGGAUUGCCUCAGUAACGGCGAGUGAAGCGGCAACAGCUCAAAUUUGAAAUCUGGCUCUUUCAGGGUCCGAGUUGUAAUUUGUAGAGGGUGUUUCGGGUGCGGCGCCGGUCUAAGUCCCUUGGAACAGGGCGUCAUAGAGGGUGAGAAUCCCGUAUGUGACUGGCGACCAACCCCGUGUGAAACCCCUUCGACGAGUCGAGUUGUUUGGGAAUGCAGCUCAAAAUGGGUGGUAAAUUUCAUCUAAAGCUAAAUACCGGCCAGAGACCGAUAGCGCACAAGUAGAGUGAUCGAAAGAUGAAAAGCACUUUGGAAAGAGAGUCAAAAAGUACGUGAAAUUGUUGAAAGGGAAGCGCUUGCGACCAGACCUGUCCGCCGGCGAUCAACCUCGGUUUUCCGGGGUGCACUCGUCGGCGAUCAGGCCAGCAUCGGUUCGGGUGGGUGGGUAAAAGGCCUUGGGAAUGUGGCUUCCUCUCGGGGAAGUGUUAUAGCCCUCGGUGGAUAAACCGUCACCUGGACCGAGGACCGCGCUUCGGCUAGGAUGCUGGCGUAAUGGUUGUAAGCGACCCGUCUUGAAACACGGACCAAGGAGUCUAAUAUCUAUGCGAGUGUUUGGGUGUCAAACCCAUACGCGUAAUGAAAGUGAACGGAGGUGAGAACCCUUAAGGGCGCAUCAUCGACCGAUCCAGAUGUCUUCGGAUGGAUUUGAGUACGAGCAUAGCUAUUGGGACCCGAAAGAUGGUGAACUAUGCCUGAAUAGGGUGAAGCCAGAGGAAACUCUGGUGGAGGCUCGCAGCGGUUCUGACGUGCAAAUCGAUCGUCAAAUUUGGGUAUAGGGGCGAAAGACUAAUCGAACCAUCUAGUAGCUGGUUCCUG